UCAAGCGAAGAAUAGGUUUAUGGUGGAUGUCUUGGAGCCAACCGGCGAAGAAGGCCGUGAUAAGCUGCGAAAAGCUUCGGGGAGGAGCACAUAUCCUGUGAUCCGGAGAUAGCCGAAUGGGGUAACCCGAUAGGAGUGAUUCUAUCAUUACGCUCUUGAAUAAAAUAGAGAGGUAAAGCAAUACUGAGUGAACUGAACCAUCUAAGUAACUCAAGGAAAAGACAUCAAAAGAGAUUCCGAAAGUAGUGGCGAGCGAAAUUGGAAGAGCCCAAACCCGUUAAACGGGGGUUGUAGGGCUGCACGGGCUUACGUACAGCAAGUGAUAAAAUGAAUGUAUAGUAGAAAGGUUUUGGGAAAGCCUGACAGAGAGGGUGAAAUCCCCGUAUACGAAAUACAGUCAUCUUGCCGGUGCAGUACCUGAGUACGGCGGGACACGAGAAAUCCUGUUGGAAUCUGGGUCGACCACGAUCCAAGGCUAAAUACGAGUUGGCUACCGAUAGCGGACAAGUACCGUGAGGGAAAGAUGAAAAGAACCCCUGUGAGGGGAGUGAAAUAGAACCUGAAACCAUAAACCAACAAGAUGUUACAGCCCUAUAUGGGUGGUAGCGUGCCUUUUGUAGAAUGAGCCUGCGAGUUACGGUAUGCAGCGAGGUUAAGGAAUAGAAGUUCCGGAGCCGGAGGGAAACCGAGUCUGAAGAGGGCGAAGUAAAGUUGCAUGUCGUAGACCCGAAGCCAGAGUGAUCUAGUCAUGAGCAGGUUGAAGCAGCGGUAAAACGCUGUGGAGGACCGAACUACAAUCUGUUAAAAAAGGUUUGGAUGACUUGUGACUAGGAGUGAAAGGCUAAACAAACCUGGAAAUAGCUGGUUCUCCCCGAAAUGCCUUUAGGGACAGCCUUAUACAAAAUUACCGGAGGUAAAGCACUGGAUGGACUAGGGGGCUUCACCGCCUACCAAACCCAAUCAAACUCUGAAUGCCGGUAAUCAACGUAUAGGAGUGAGACUGCGUGCGACAAGGUUCGUAGUCAAAAGGGAAACAGCCCAGACCGUCAGCUAAGGUCCCGAAAUACUGCUUGAGUGUGAAAUGAAGUGUGGAUACAAAGACAGCCAGGAGGUUGGCUUAGAAGCAGCCAUUCCUUAAAAGAGUGCGUAAUAGCUCACUGGUCGAGUAUACAUGCGCAGAUAAUGUAACGGGGCUAAGCAGUAUACCGAAGCUACGGGUCUUAUGCAUUAAAAGCAUAAGGCGGUAGGGGAGCAUUCCAUGGACUGAUGAAGGCGUACCUGAGAGGGGCGCUGGAGGGGAUGGAAGAGAGAAUGCAGGUAUAAGUACACGAAAAGAAAGGUGAGAUUCCUUUCCGCCGAAAACCUAAGGUUUCCUGGGUAAAGGUCAUCUGCCCAGGGUUAGUCGGUCCCUAAGGCGAGGGCGAAAGCCGUAGUCGAUGGGAAAUCGGUUCAUAUUCCGAUACCUUUUAUAAUUUCGAUGGCAGGACGCAUGAGGCGACCCCCGGCCGGAGAACGGUUGUUCCGGUCGAAGUAUUUAAGCCGUUAUAAAGGAUAGUAGGCAAAUCCGCUAUCCAAGGUAAGAAACGACAGCGAGUGGAUCGAUGAGAGAAGCGAAGCGGGGUAAGUCACGGUGCCGGGAAAUACUGUCUAAGGAUCAGGUUAUAAAAGACCGUACCGUAAACCGACACAGGUAGGUAGGAUGAGAAAUCUAAGGCGCUCGAGAGAACUCGCGUUAAGGAACUCGGCAAAAUGCACACGUAACUUAGGGAAAAGUGUGGCCUCUGUUUAGUAAUGAGUGGAGGUAGCAUAAAGCAGGCCCAGGCGACUGUUUAUCAAAAACACAGCCAUCUGCGAAUCAGUAAUGAGACGUAUAGGUGGUGACACCUGCCCGGUGCCGGAAGGUUAAGAGGAGCGGUGAGCAGUAAUGCGAAGCUGUCGGUCCUAAGGUAGCGAAAUUCCUUGUCGGGUAAGUUCCGACCCGCACGAAUGGUGUAACGUAUCUGGGCACUGUCUCAACGCGAGGCUCGGUGAAAUUUAUAUACCGGUAAAGAAGCCGGUUACCCAUAGUUAGACGGAAAGACCCCGUGAACCUUCACCGUAACUUA
rnacentral:rRNA from 1 species